CCUGGGCGCAGUGGUUUAUCGAUCCCUUCCCUGCCUUGUGUGCUGAUCUGAUCCAUGAAACCCGGUGGUUUCUUUUUUUUUCUCUUUCCCUAGUCGCAGCCAACCGACAACAACGCGGGAAUCGAUCGAUAAACCUCUGCAUCCAGC
rnacentral:pre_miRNA from 1 species